UCUUCUUCUUCUUCUGUUCAUCGCCUCUAGCGAUUCUGAGGCCGUGAAAUCGAAAGGAAAUUUAGGGGAAACAUUAGGGUUUGAUUGUUGGUCAUGAUGUUGAAGUUGGUUUAGCUUUGAAUGAAGAAGAAAUGAUGCAUUGAUGAGAAUCAGAAGUUAGGGUUUCUGCGAUUUGGAAUUGGUUGAAGAUUUAGGAGAAGCUGAGGAUGGAAUUAAGUAAUAAUUGAGGGGUUCUUAUCGAAUUGAUGAAGUGAAGCUAAUCUGAGGGUGAAUCGAAGAAAUUAUAGUUUCUGGAGUUGGUUGGAGUUGUGUAAAAUUGAAGUUGGGAUUGAAACAAGAGAAGGAAGAUCAAGGAUGUUUUGUUGUUUAAUUGAAGUUCUGAAGUUGAUUUGAUAAAGAAUUCAAGGUUAGGGUUUUCUCUGGAGUUGGUGAUUGAGUAUGAAAUUGAAUAAUUGAGGAUUGGUUUUAAGAGUAUAACAUGAAGAAGAAGAUGGUGAUACUAGUUUGAGGAUUCAAUUUCAGAGACGAGUAUGAAUUAGGGUUUUUGAGAAUUGAAGAUGGUGAUGAAGGUUGCUGGGUUGUGGAUAGUUUUGAGAUGAUUGCUCAAUUGGGUUAAGGGAAGGAGGAAUCUGAUUUCAAUUUGCAGGAGUGGAAAUAUUGGAGGGAUAGCUGGAGUUGCAAUUGUUGGAGUUUUGGGUGUUUGAAUUACAAGGCAUGGGUUUAUGUUUAGAUGAAACAAGAAUUACUCAUAGUAUUGGAUAGAUGUGAAUUACAGAGAAGAGGAGGAAAUGAAUGUUAAUGUGGAAUUAUUGAAUGGAUCAAAGUCAUUUGAUAAGUAAUGAAGUUUGUAUACGUCUGUGAUGUGAAGGUUUUGUAUUGCAGCUGCUGAUGGUGCUGUUGUCUUGAGGAAUUUUGAUAGAAGAUGGAAUUGGAUUCUAUUGGGACUGGGUAUGGUCUCAGUUGAGGUUAUAAAUGAUAUGAAGUAUGUUUGAAUUGAAUGAGAAUAAUAAUUCUGCUGAAGGUUAUGUCUGGAUUGAAAUGAGUGUAUUAACAGAAUGUGAGUGCAGUUUGGGUUGAUCUGCAAGUGGUAGUGGUGUACGGAAUUAAGGGUUAGGGUAGAUGUAGGGUUAUUGAUGGUCUCGGUGGAGGCUUGCUUCUGCUACCUGAAGGUAAGCUGAAUUUGUAAUUGUAAUUGUAUUAUAAAGCUGUUGUUAAUAAAUGAAUUGUACUUUGGCUUGUGUCCAGCCAGUAGUUGU